rnacentral:rRNA from 1 species
AACGAACGCUGGCGGCAGGCCUAACACAUGCAAGUCGAGCGGGGGAGCAAUCCCUAGCGGCGGACGGGUUAGUAACGCGUGGGAACAUACCCUUUGGUACGGAUAGCCUCGGGAAACUGAGAGUAAUACCCGUAUGUGCCCUUCGGGGGAAAUAUUUAUAGGAUGUAGAUGGGCAUGCGUAAGAUUAGCUAGUUGGUAAGGUAACGGCUUACCAAGGCUACGAUCUUUAGGGGCUCUGAGAGGAGUAUCCCCCACACUGGCACUGAGAUACGGGCCA